GGGGGGUCACGGCUCUGCCCGGCUGCCCCAAGGGCCGGCGGAGCUGCGGCCGGCGAGGAGUGGGCGCCCCGGUGCCCCAGGGCAAACUCCGUGAGGGGGGCUAGGCUCCGUGACAGGCGGUAACUCAGUAAAACCGGGGGAGUCUGAGAGGCGAAACGGGAAAGGCUGUCCUGUUCCACCACCAACCUAAAAAACCACCACGAACUUCUCCAAAUCUCAACCAUAGCAACUUCUAAGGUCAAUUGGAGCCUGGGUUCGAAGGAAACAAAGAGCAAUCUGUUGAAAAGUGAAAUAAAAUCUCAUAGGUCAGCAAAACAGGAAAUAUGAAUGUGUGGACAUAACACCCACAGGAUGAAGCUGAAAAGCUCUACGAGAACUGGAGUCAAAGUGUCAUAUGUGUUACUGCCAGACCACCUGGAUGAGUUCAGGUCUUGAAGGUUUCAAAGACAGAACUUCAAAAGAAAAGCAUUUAAGCUUUCCAUAUAAAGUAUUGAAGACAGUGGAACAAGUUUGGGGAAGAGUUAAAGUGGUGCUAGGUACAAGAUGCUCCAAGGUAUCUCCGUGCCUUGUCCUGAAGUCCACCAAUAAGGCCUAACUGCGAGUUAAAGCAGACUGAGGAGCUGGCAAGGACUUCUAGCAGGGCAGCCAAAUAGCUGAAAAGGCUCCAUGCAGCUCACACCCUAUGGGUUUAAGAAAAAGACCUGAAUCGUGUCAGGAGGAUUUACAGGUCUCUGACACUGCUGUAAAGGCCUGUCGUGGUGAUGUGCAGCUGGGACAGUCGCCUCACUCCAGCAGUGCUGCAGUCCUCUCUGGAGGCUGAGGCUCCAGCACACAGGCCACUGCCUUGAUCUGGUAGAAGACUCGGUCCACAGAAGCAGCCAGACCGGAAUCUGUCACAUUUCUGAAUCAGUCCCAGAUGUCCCUGGGCAUCUUCAGAGCUCUGAAAAGCAGUGGGCAAUAGUUGCUUGUCCUCUUUGAGUUAUAUCAUCAAUGAUUAAAAUAAUGUCAUGUAGAUACUCAGAAUAAGACCAGCCUCUAAAAAUGUUGUAUAGUGAGACAGUAAGGAAUUCCUUCAAGUUGUACUAAUGAAAAGUUGGUAAAUGUUUUCUGCCUUCCCCCAAUUUAUUUAAAGGUGUCUAAGAAGAAAAAAAAAAAAAAAAAAAAAAAAGAAACCUCACACAAAAUAACCCUUUCCUCUAUGAAAAGUUUAUACAGAAAAAGAAAGAUAUGAUUUAAUUUAAUUUCUAUUGUCUUGGGUUUGUGUUUUUUUUUUUUUGGUUGGAAAUUUGGAUUCCAAAACUUUACAUGAAACGAGCUAUUUCUGUGUGGAAGUGCCGUCACAGAUGCUCAAGGGAAUUUACUGUUAGUGCUCCACGUUUCUAUUUUCCUCUAUAGGGUAAGUACCUUGACCUUGUAUCUUUCUUCCUGGAGAGGAGAAAUGGUGCACAGAUCCCACAUCUGUCGCAGCCUCCCUCCUUUCCUCCCUAUUUCUUCUUUUCAUUAUCAGUAGUUCUGCUGGGCUUAAAAUUCACCUUCUCCUACAAAAGCAUUAGUAAAAAUAAAAAGAAAAAGAAAAAAAGUUUUUAUAAAUGCAUAAUAGAGUCUAGCAGUCUAGUAAAAUACGAUCUUACCUAUAAUGUGAAUACUUCAGAAAAAUAAUUUAAAAAAAAGUGCUGAAUUAGUAGUCUGCUAUGCAAUAGUAGAUUGAAGAGGCAUAGCACAGACUCAUCAGUUCUGCCCUGAAAGAACUAACGUGAAGAAGGGUUGGAGUAAAAUAAAUACACUGUGCUUUAUAAGAGGAAAAAAGAAAGAUAGGUUGUUAGUAUCAUUUGAAAUAAAUCACAGUUUUAUGCAUCCUUGUUCCCACUGAUAAGGGUAACAUGUAUAACAUCUAUCUUAGAAAGCAUAAGCAGGGAAGGAACUCCUCUCUCCCAUUAUAUAUUCACCAAAAGGAAAAAAAAACUGGUUCCAGCCUCCCUACAUCUGUAGGUCUGCUGUUAGUCACAUGUUUUAAAUGUCUUUGUGUAUAGAUCAAGAAAGUUGGGGGGUGGUGUAAGACGGGACAAGAAGGAAACUUCAAGCCAGUGGCUGAAGUGGAAGUCCUUGCACGAAGGACUGCGUCUCCCGUUAGCCAGCUAACGUUCAGGCUUGGCAAUUGAUUUUCCGCUUUGGGCUGGCUUGGCUCCCAGCCUGGGUCUCUACCGCUGAAUUAAGCAUGGCUGCGAGACAGCACUCCCGUGCUGAGGCCAGCUGGCGCCGUACGAGUCCGUGUCCAUGCUCUCGGCAUCCAGAACAUGGGGAUCACCCUGGCCCGGGAUAACUUCCAGAUCAGCUCUGGGAAUUUUUUGAGAGUGAUAAGUGGCGUGGGACAGGGAUCGAUCCAGCAAUUGGUCAGUAGACUCAGAGGAAUGUCCAGCAAUAUUUCCUUGGGCACCAUUUUUACUGGUCUGUACGUAGCCUGGUAGAGCCCAGACCAAUCCAGCUGCACGCCCGUGCAGGUGGCUGCUGACCACUGUUUGGGUUUGCUUUUGGGAGCAUGAGGCGGCACAAACCGUAGGGGACAGUGGCUCUGGGCAGUAAAUCAAACCUUGUCAUGGACAGCGAAAACAGACAGCAAGCUUCACUCUGUUUUUAUAGAUUCCUUAAUCUCCUCAUUAAUGAGCACUUUCUACAGUAUGCUCGAACCCCAGACCAGAGCAGUAAUAGAAUAAUACUGGUUAGUCAUGAAAGCGUAAGUGACACAGCCAGAGCAGUAAUUUGAGAGAGAUCCCAAGGAACACCUGGGUUCAUUCAAAUAAAGAAAAAAAAAAAAAAAAAAAAGGAGGGAAAAGAUCAUUUUGUCCAAAACCAGGUUUGCAAGGAUUUAAAUUCUUCAUGGAAGAACAGGGAAAGAGGGAGGAGAUACAUGUGAAGCUAAAACAUUGAGACAUCUGGGGUUUUUUGAAUGAGCCAGAGUUUUGGAAACUCGUUCUUAAUUUGUGGACACAGUAAGAUGCCUUUUCUCUAGAAAUUCCAUUUACGCGGUCACUGCUUGCAUUGCUUUUCUGUAUUUUAUUUCUUCCUCAAGGGAUUAUCAUUAAGUAGUUAAAUUCCAAAUUGUUAACCUGCUUUGUAAUAUUGUAGCAAUUUUUAAACAAGUAGCAAAGAGUGGAUUAAAAAAAAUUAGUUCCAAGUCACACAGUCAUUCUUCACACAAUGUUGUUGGAGAAAAAAAAAAAAAAAAAACAAAACAAAGACCUCUGAAAAUAAAAACAGUAUGUUUUGGCAUUUGUUUUGCAUUGUUUUGUUUCUUAUUGUAACCUACGACUGUAGAGAAAUACAUACUGACCUACGUAAGAAGAAUAAUUACAAAUUUUAUUGUAAGAAAUGUGCUGUUCAUGAGAUAAAGAUGGUUUGCUUUUGUUUGUUUGUUCAAAGAAAAAUAAAAUAGGAAAUAAAUGUUGCUUUCAAGUAUGAAGCAACAAGUUAAUGCA